CGUCGCCCGCCGGACGAACCUUCUGAACCUUUCUCAAGGUUGACCUCGGAUCAGGUAGGGAUACCCGCUGAACUUAAGCAUAUCAAUAA
rnacentral:rRNA from 1 species